rnacentral:rRNA from 1 species
GACGAACGCUGGCGGCGUGCUUAACACAUGCAAGUCGAACGGAAAGGCCCUGCUUUUGUGGGGUGCUCGAGUGGCGAACGGGUGAGUAACACGUGAGUAACCUGCCCUUGACUUUGGGAUAACUUCAGGAAACUGGGGCUAAUACCGGAUAGGAGCUCCUGCUGCAUGGUGGGGGUUGGAAAGUUUCGGCGGUUGGGGAUGGACUCGCGGCUUAUCAGCUUGUUGGUGGGGUAGUGGCUUACCAAGGCUUUGACGGGUAGCCGGCCUGAGAGGGUGACCGGCCACAUUGGGACUGAGAUACGGCCCAGACUCCUACGGGAGGCAGCAGUGGGGAAUAUUGCACAAUGGGCGGAAGCCUGAUGCAGCAACGACGCGUGCGGGAUGACGGCCUUCGGGUUGUAAACCGCUUUCGCCUGUGACGAAGCGUGAGUGACGGUAAUGGGUAAAGAAGCACCGGCUAACUACGUG